rnacentral:rRNA from 1 species
GGUGCUCGAGUGGCGAACGGGUGAGUAACACGUGGGUGAUCUGCCCUGCACUUUGGGAUAAGCCUGGGAAACUGGGUCUAAUACCGGAUAGGACUACGGCCUGCAUGGGUUGUGGUGGAAAGCUUUUGCGGUGUGGGAUGGGCCCGCGGCCUAUCAGCUUGUUGGUGGGGUGAUGGCCUACCAAGGCGACGACGGGUAGCCGGCCUGAGAGGGUGUCCGGCCACACUGGGACUGAGAUACGGCCCAGACUCCUACGGGAGGCAGCAGUGGGGAAUAUUGCACAAUGGGCGCAAGCCUGAUGCAGCGACGCCGCGUGAGGGAUGACGGCCUUCGGGUUGUAAACCUCUUUCAGUAGGGACGAAGCGCGAGUGACGGUACCUACAGAAGAAGCACCGGCCAACUACGUGCCAGCAGCCGCGGUAAUACGUAGGGUGCGAGCGUUGUCCGGAAUUACUGGGCGUAAAGAGCUCGUAGGUGGUUUGUCGCGUUGUCCGUGAAAACUCACAGCUUAACUGUGGGCGUGCGGGCGAUACGGGCAGACUGGAGUACUGCAGGGGAGACUGGAAUUCCUGGUGUAGCGGUGGAAUGCGCAGAUAUCAG